UACAGAGGGUGCGAGCGUUAAUCGGAAUUACUGGGCGUAAAGCGUGCGUAGACGGUUUGUAAGUCGGAUGUGAAAUCCCCGGGCUCAACCUGGGAAUUGCAUUCGAGACUGCAAGGCUUGGGGUGCGGAAGAGGGAAGCGGAAUUUCCGGUGUAGCGGUGAAAUGCGUAGAUAUCGGAAGGAACAUCAGUGGCGAAAGCGGCUUCCUGGUCCAGCACCGACGUUCAGGCACGAAAGCGUGGGGAGCAAACAGG
rnacentral:rRNA from 1 species